GUGGGGAAUAUUGGACAAUGGGCGAAAGCCUGAUCCAGCCAUGCCGCGUGUGUGAAGAAGGUCUUCGGAUUGUAAAGCACUUUAAGUUGGGAGGAAGGGCAGUAAGUUAAUACCUUGCUGUUUUGACGUUACCGAUAGAAUAAGCACCGGCUAACUUCGUGCCAGCAGCCGCGGUAAUACGAAGGGUGCAAGCGUUAAUCGGAAUUACUGGGCGUAAAGCGCGCGUAGGUGGUUUUGUAAGUUGGAGGUGAAAUCCCCGGGCUCAACCUGGGAACUGCCUCCAAAACUGGAUGACUAGAGUACGGUAGAGGGGAGUGGAAUUUCCUGUGUAGCGGUGAAAUGCGUAGAUAUAGGAAGGAACACCAGUGGCGAAGGCGACUACCUGGACUGAUACUGACACUGAGGUGCGAAAGCGUGGGGAGCAAACAGGAUUAGAAACCCCAGUAGUCC
rnacentral:rRNA from 1 species